rnacentral:rRNA from 1 species
GACGGAGGGAGAUAGCGUUGUUCGGAAUUACUGGGCGUAAAGAGCACGAAGGCGGCUUUUUAAGUCAGGGGUGAAAUACCAGGGCUAAACCUCGGAACUGCCCUUGAAACUGGGAAGCUAGAAUCUUGGAGAGGCGAGUGGAAUUCCGAGUGUAGAGGUGAAAUUCGUAGAUAUGCGGAAGAACACCAGUGGCGAAGGCGACUCGCUGGACAAUUAUUGACGCUUAGGUACGAAAGCUUGGGGAGCAAACAGG